CGUGUGGUGUCGUGCAGGAUUGACCUGGCACGAAGAGCGACACGGCCUUCACAGAGGU
rfam:Erwinia sp. EM595 isolate E_g_EM595 genome assembly, chromosome: 1